UAAAUCCUGCUGUGUGCGCAGAUUGAGUUCAUAUUGACCGAACAUAUUGAAAAAGGGAACCUAUCUCUUUUUGUGAAAUGAGAUCCAAUUAUAUAUUGGAAACAGGAAGCAGAAAGGCGGUGCCCACCUGCUUGAGAGCGGGUUCAAAUAACUCAAUCCUACGGCAUGGUGGGUUUUAU
rnacentral:other from 1 species